GAGAGACAGGUUCUCACUUUGUUCCCCAGGCUGGUCUCAGACUCCUGGCCUCAAGCAGUCCUCCCACCUUAGCCUCCCAAAGUGCUGAGAUUACAGGCGAGAGUUACCGUGCCUGGCCACUUGCAUUUUUUAUCUCUUGAAUAUUUGGGGGGCUCUGGCCAAGUCCGUGGGGCAGGACACCAAGAAGGAUAAGGCACAGCCCUGCCCAAAGAAGCUGGAAUCCACACAUGGCAACAAAAAGCCUGCAGGGGUGGAACUGCAGGCUUUAACUAUGAGCAUAUGGGGAGUUUAAAAGAUUGGGGAGCCUGGAGGGACGUGGGGGACAGGCCUAUUUGGAAGGGCCAGUGGUAAACAGCCAGACGACAAGGACCUGGCCUUCUGUACCUUCCACGUUCCCUUCUCACCUGGCCCUGCUCCGUGCCACGCAGGUGGUCCCAGCUCCACGGCCUGGCCCUGUGACCCAGCUCCAGCCUCAGUAGCCUCUCCUGUGCUCUGGUGGGCCACCCGCUCUGAAGUGACUGCCAGAAUGCGACUGGAUGGUCCUCAAGAAGCCUCUUGCCUCCUGUCCUCUGUUGGGAAGACCUUCCCUUCUUCUCCAGUCCAGGAGCCUCCGACUCAUUCUCCUGCCUCAGCACCCCUCAGCUUCCUCAGAGCACACCCUACACUGGAUGGGACCUGCUGGGCACUGCAGCCGGAGAUGUAACUGGCACCAGGAACCUCCCUCCAUCUUGUCCCUGUCCCACAGCUCUUCACCCGUGGGUGUCUUUUUGCCGACUGGUCUGAUUACUGGCGAGAAUCUGGUGAUUGGGGAUGAAAGAAGUUCGGGUCUCCUCUA